UACGUAGGGCGCAAGCGUUGUCCGGAAUUAUUGGGCGUAAAGAGCUCGUAGGCGGCCUGUCGCGUCCGCUGUGAAAUCCCGGGGCUCAACCCCGGGCCUGCAGUCGAUACGGGCAAGCUAGAGUUCGGCAGGGGAGACUGGAAUUCCUGGUGUAGCGGUGAAAUGCGCAGAUGUCAGGAGGAACACCGGUGGCGAAGGCGGGUCUCUGGACAGUUCCUGACACUGAGACACGAAGGCCAGGGGAGCAAACGGG
rnacentral:rRNA from 1 species